GAUGAACGCUGGCGGCGCGCCUAACACAUGCAAGUCGAACGGUUGAAGCACCUUUUAGGUGUGUAUAAAGUGGCGAACGGCUGAGUAACACGUGGGCAACCUGCCCUCCUCUUGGGGAUAGCCUCGGGAAACCGAGGAUAAUACCCGAUACUUCAAUGUGGCCGCAUGACGACAUUGAGAAAGCUUUUGCGGAGAAGGAUGGGCCCGCGGCCUGUUAGCUUGUUGGUGGGGUAGAGGCCUACCAAGGCAAUGAUGGGUAGCUGGGUUGAGAGACCGACCAGCCAGAUUGGGACUGAGACACGGCCCAGACUCCUACGGGAGGCAGCAGUGGGGAAUCUUGCACAAUGGGCGAAAGCCUGAUGCAGCGACGCCGCGUGCGGGACGAAGGCCUUCGGGUUGUAAACCGCUUUCAGCAGGGACGAGGCGAUAAGUGACGGUACCCGCAGAAGAAGCCCCGGCUAACUACGUG
rnacentral:rRNA from 1 species